rnacentral:rRNA from 1 species
UACGUAGGAUCCGAGCGUUAUCCGGAGUGACUGGGCGUAAAGAGUUGCGUAGGUGGUUUGUUAAGUAGAUCGUGAAAUCUGGCGGCUCAACCGUACAGGCUAUUAUCUAAACUGACAAACUCGAGAAUGGUAGAGGUAACUGGAAUUUCUUGUGUAGGAGUGAAAUCCGUAGAUAUAAGAAGGAACACCAAUGGCGUAGGCAGGUUACUGGACCAUUUCUGACACUGAGGCACGAAAGCGUGGGGAGCGAACCGG